UAGUUUUAGCUGUUAACUUCAGUUAAAAAAUGUCGAGUUCGAAUUAUUCGCCUCCUUUUAUUGUUUCUGUUUCUACUAUAUUAACAUAUGAACCCAUUGAUGUUCAACCUGCAGGGAAAGGUAAUAUGACCUCCUUCAAGUUGAUCCAUAAAGUACAUAUUUAAAAGGAAGGGAUAUUGUACAGCAGAAUAGCUUCUGAAAUCUGAACUACUAUAGAAGUGUACAGUUUUGACAGAGCGCUUGCUUCUAGCCAAUGCACUAGUGUACGUAUCACUGAAUAUACAAUACUCAUCAUUUAUGUAAUAACCAGCUUUGGAAAGAAUGUACAUACCUGAGAAAGAAUCGAUGACUUUUCUAGUUUCAACAAAUUAACAUUAUUCUGAACGACCUGCCUGAUACAUAAAUUAACAUUAGUCUGAUAAUCAGCUGAAUAUUUCUAACCAAAGGUGGGCAUAUCCUACCUACUUUGUAAAAAGAAUGGACCAAGUCUAUUCUCAUGUCGACUCUGAGGAGUCAUUAUCAAUGUUGCUAGUGCGCACAAUUAUAAAUAAUCAGAGGCAAGUACCAAGAAAAAGAGACAUAAGCUAAUGCAGGUAUGAAUGCCACUAACUUGUUUUGGGUGCCAGCGGCAUGGUUCCAGAAGACUUGAAGCUCUGAUUAAGCCAUUCAAAUGGACACGCACUUUCGUGUACUUUUCUACGACAUUACUUUACCCACUUAAUUAAGCAGGACCUGCUUAAUGGGGGAGAACUUAGUUUUAAAUGUGAGCCAUUAAUUUUUUUGAUCGGAUGGUGCAAAUAAUAUUAACAUAUGUGGACGAAUAUGAUGGCUUGUUUUACUUCUGUCUUAAGUAUCUGAUUUAUUUUCAGCUUUUGGUUAAAAAUUGGUAGCGGAAGGCAUUUUGACCCAUUUGUCACUGUUAUUUGUUACGGCACAGCGUUGGGAGUUCCUUUUUGUACUUGUUUGUUGUGAAACAUCAUAAUGUAUCUAGUUACACGUCUGUCAUGAAUUCAACUUCAGGAAUUUGGACUGUGGCGAAAGCCCAGAAAUCUUGGUGAUUGAAUAAACAUGGAACUAUAAUGUUUGUGAAAUGGAGAGGUUACAUGAUGAGGGGCAUGCCUGUAUUUCACUCAGUAGUGAGAUGAUGUAUAGGUGCUUGUUAGGGACUUUAUUUGUUCCUUAUUAUGUUUUAGUCCAAAAACAUCAACACUCAUUGGGUGUUAUAAUCUCCUGGGGGCCUUUUACUUGUUUCAGUUGUAUGAUUUGUUAAAGUGGCUAUGCUGGAUUGCCCUGAAGGUGGUAUGGAUAGCACAUUCAGGUAAUAAAUAUGACAAAUGAAGACGCAUUUUCACUUAUUUGGUAAUCUAGACGCGUCAAAAGUGACUUCUUUCAAAUGUGCUUGGAUGAUUCGUGACACACAAUUAAUCUAUCACAGGACUCAAAAAUAGUUAGCUAUCUUUACUUCCUUAUAAGCAUUGCCCUGGAUUUUCUCUUUAAAUUGUUUAAAUUUUGUUAUUGUCAUUUAGGCAAUAAGACAUACUGAGCUCAAAUAUAUUUUCUUAAUUCCUUGCCAUAUCUUAGAGCUAUAAAACACCCUUUAUCUCAAUCUUUGAAGACAUACCGGUUGGAUGGACAAUGAAUUUUAUACUUCAUUAGUAUAGAAGACUCCCUGAGUAAUAGAUUGCAGCCAUCCAUACUAUCGCCACACUGUAUACAAUGUGGAUAGUUAGCUUGAUAAACAUGGAUUUAGCAUGCAUAUAUUAUUGGCAGUUUUUUAAGGCUAUGCUAAAAUGUGAUAGUUAUAUUUUGUCCCGACACCACUGUAUAUGUUGUUGUACAAUGCGGGAGGAUCACGUAGAGUCGCUGUUUCAGUUUUCGCUUGGCUAUUUUGGCUAUAUUAUUACUAACCUCAUCAGUGUCAUACGCCGUUUGUUUAUCCAAGGGCAUGCCAAAAUUUCCCUUUAAUUACGUCAUUUUUAGUGCCUACAGAUGACUGAUGUUUCAUUUUGAUAAAAGUCCCACUACGGUCAGAAUGAGAUGAAUUACAUGUCUGCAAAACUAAUCAAAUAUGAAUGUGAUGAAUUUCCUCUUUGCAGAAUCUACAUACUAUGUAUUACAUGCAAAAAAUGUUUAUACAAGACAUUUUCCCCUCAUGGUUAUAUGUGUGUUGCACGUACAUGCCCACGUCCUCGACGGCAAAAUCCAGCUACCGGUGGGGAUAUAGAGGAUGCCAAGAUGGACAACGCAUUGGUAUCGAGUUUGCCGAGCUCGCGAGGACAGACCACGACCUGGUGACCUUUGCCAUUGAGGGCACCGUCUACCUUUGGAGCCCCGUUGAUCUCAUGACCCUCGCCACCGCCACAGCCAACGCCACAGAGUGUGAGAUUGCUAAAUGGCGACUGCUCUUACUGGAGCGAUGUUACCCUUCCAGGAGAUAAGAGUGAUACUAUUCUUUGGUCAGGUUAUGUUUGUUACGGAUUGUUGUAUUGAGGAAAGCAAUUAUGGAACUUAGUGUGUUUUAUGGUUUUUUUUUUCUGAAUUUACAGCCGCUAAGUUCCUGAAGCUUGAUCGACAUCUUUUGUCAGUUGCUAACUAUUCCAACAUCUCUCAAAAUGGGAAAAGCAAGAGGGAAAUGUAGCACCCCCUAGGACAUCAACUGUACUGCCAGUGUACAUGCUUUCACAUGAAAAUGCUGGUAUCCACCUUGCAGCCUGCUAUUGUUUUCUGAAUUUGCAACUGCGGACCAUUGCUUUCUGUCUGGAUUUCACUCAAAUUGAGCAGUUUCACAGAGUGGGUGUUGGGGUAGUAGUUUUGCUCAAUUCAGGAUAUCGUGUGAAAUAAACCUAUGGGAUUUCUCUCCAGUUUUAUGUUGUGGCAUAAGAUUGAAAAAAAGUAGCCAUGGUUUACAAGUCACUGGUAAAACAAGUAAACCUGCUGUUGUCAAAAUUUCAAACCAACUAAGCAUGUUCAUUUCAAAUCAGUUAGCAAUGACAUUCAAUGUGGAAGGAAGGUGAAACAGCUUAUGAUUUCUAAGUAGGAGUAUAUAUUAUUUCUAGGCUUUGGUUUUACUUUUUUUGGCUUUAAUGGGUCCUACUAGUGUGCAUUGGGAAAAAAAUAUUUCAAUCUAAGUGGCAACAGGUUCCAACGUGUAUAUGUAUUAUGUGCUACAUACGAAGGUUCCAACGGACUUAUAUUUAGGAACGGAGGGAGUAGAUUUUAGAACUCAAUUCUCAUAGACAAAGCAAGAACCUUCGAUGACUAAUGCUUAAGUGAGGUGUAAUUUUUCAAUUUUAGAACUCAAUUCUCAUAGACUGAAGCUCGGCCUAGGCUAGAACCCCCUCGAGUGAGCUCCUCAAGUCCUCUUAUACCCCUCCUACUUGCUUGUUGGUUCAAUGCUCUGCCUUUGUGAGGUGUAAUUGUUCAAUUUUGUUCAUAGUCGAGCAUUGGAUGAUAUUGUAUUUGUCAUGAUGUACAUGGUUCAUGAACUAUGCCAACCUGCAGCUUUGUUGUACUAGUGAUAGUAGGAUAAUGCAAGUUUUGACAAUCCAUGCAUAUUUCCGCAUCAUAAUAAUCUUCUUCUUCUUCUAGUCUUCUUCUUCUUCUAACUUUCUUCUUUCCCAUU